rnacentral:rRNA from 1 species
UACGGAGGGUGCGAGCGUUAAUCGGAAUUACUGGGCGUAAAGCGUGCGCAGGCGGCUUUGCAAGACAGAUGUGAAAUCCCCGGGCUCAACCUGGGAACUGCAUUUGUGACUGCAAGGCUAGAGUACGGCAGAGGGGGAUGGAAUUCCGCGUGUAGCAGUGAAAUGCGUAGAUAUGCGGAGGAACACCAAUGGCGAAGGCAAUCCCCUGGGCCUGUACUGACGCUCA